rnacentral:rRNA from 1 species
AUUGAACGCUGGCGGCAUGCCUUACACAUGCAAGUCGAACGGUAACGCGGGGGCAACCCUGGCGACGAGUGGCGAACGGGUGAGUAAUACAUCGGAACGUACCCAGUAGUGGGGGAGUAGCCCGGCGAAAGCCGGAUUAAUACCGCAUACGACCUAUGGGUGAAAGCGGGGGAUCGCAAGACCUCGCGCUAUUGGAGCGGCCGAUGUCGGAUUAGCUAGUUGGUGAGGUAAAGGCUCACCAAGGCUACGAUCCGUAGCUGGUCUGAGAGGACGACCAGCCACACUGGGACUGAGACACGGCCCAGACUCCUACGGGAGGCAGCAGUGGGGAAUUUUGGACAAUGGGCGCAAGCCUGAUCCAGCCAUGCCGCGUGUGUGAAGAAGGCC